AGGCAGCAUAGGGCUUCCGGCCUGGGCUGGAGAAGCGCAGGCAGCGUUGUGGCCAGGAGGUGGGCUCAGAGGGCGGCGCAGAGCCUUGCUUGGGGAGAGGCUCUCGGACAGUCGGGGUUGCUGCGGGCCCGAGCCGGGUAGGGUCGCGCUCAGAGCUA
rfam:Mus musculus clone 10 Six3 opposite strand (Six3OS) mRNA, complete sequence; alternatively spliced.